rnacentral:piRNA from 1 species
AGGGAUGAAUCAGUGUGGAACAAA